ensembl:lncRNA
CUCGUUACCUCUAAAAGUAGUGGAAUUACAGUAAUGCGUUACUUUGUAACGUAAUGCGUUACUUUGUAACGCAUUACUUUGUAACGCAUUACUCCCAACACUGCUUAUAUCGAGACACUGAUCAUCGUGAUGCCAACAUCAGUGAUACUAAGACUUAUAUCACAACAGCUGUCAUCCACUGCACUGUCGUCACAGGGUUGUGGGUGCAGUAAAUAUGUGUGUGUUGGUUUACAUGUAGUGACUCCUGGUUUGUAACUCGUGCUGCUGUACUUCAGCUAUUUGAUCACUUUGCUCUUCUGCUGUGAAAAUGUCAGUUCAAUGCAGCUGCCGUCCGUGGCCGACGAUCUGUUCCGUUUUGUUCUUCUUUCUAAGGCCCUCCGAUAAACCUGAGGCCCUUUGUCUCUGAAGCUUCAUCAGUAUGUCUCUGCAUGUGUCUCUCUGUCCCACAGGGUGUGUCCUAUUAACUGUUAAGGACAAGCUAUUGUGGGAGGAAAUGACUCCUUUCGCCUCGCAUCUUUCAUCCUCUUGCUGCCACAUCGGCUGCACUCCGCACUCCAUCUCCUCCAUUUCUCCUUCCUCUGCUUCUCCGCUAUCCUUCAUUCCUUCCCUCAAUCCCUCCACCUCAACACCAACUCCGUCAUGCCCUCCUCCUCUCUUCUCUUACUCCUUUACCCUCUCAUUACUCACUCGCCUCCUUUGUUUCCCUUUACCAACAAGACAGUGUGUGUGUGUGUGUGUGUGUGUGUACACGUGUGCAUUUAUUACACAGCAGGAUAUUACAAAGCCGCACUGGCUUCCUUUGCACUGUGGCCUUAAGCAAUGUAAUGAUGCCGGGGAGCAAUUUGCACAUGUGAUCUCCUCCAGCAUCAGGAGAGACAGCACACACUUUCUCCAUGACAUAUUUGCUAUAAAACAAACUAGCAAUUGUUAACACGGUGGAAAGAUAGCUAUGAAAACCAAAAACACAAGCAGCCACAGGAAGUAAUCUGUCAGUUGUCUGAUACUGCAAGCGUAAGAUGGAUGAUUAUUGGGGUGUGCAUCUGUCUAGAAUGACAAAUUCAAUGGAGUGUGAGCAGGGCAGAGAAUAAAGGGCGUAAAACCUCAACAUUAAACCGCUGUGGACUUGGUCUUGGCGGCAUUGUCUCAAAGCUUUUAGCCAUUUUUCUAUUUUGACAUCAAAAAGUAGUAUCU